rnacentral:lncRNA from 1 species
GCCGAGUACAAACAAAAGGUACCUGACGACACGUGGCGAAGUCGGCGGCUUUCCUUAGUGCGAUGCUGCUGUGGGCCCCGCAUCGUCUCUGGAUCCUACUACUGAGCCCAUCUUGUGGUCCCUGAUCUGUUGGGCCUAGACCUGGGGCCUGCCCAGCCAACAUCAGUCCCACUCUAUGGACCAGCCAGGCCAUUUGAUAUCUUCUAGCAUCACAAAACUUGGUCCUUCCUCUUCCACAGCCACCAUUCCCUCUAUAUUUUACAGGUGGAUG